rnacentral:rRNA from 1 species
AUAACGAUCCCUAGUACGGCGAGUGAGCGGGAAGAGCUCAACAUUGUAAUCUGGCUGCUUCGCAGUCCGAGUUGUAGUCUAUAGAAGCAUGAUCCGCGCCGGCCCUUGGGCAUGUCUGUUGGAACGCAGUGUCAAAGAGGGUGAAAAUCCCGUACAUACCAAGGACGACCGUGUGCAUUGUGGUCUGCUCUCUAAGAGUCGAGUUGUUUGGGAAUGCAGCUCUAAUUGGGUGGUAAAUUCCAUCUAAAGCUAAAUAUCGACGAGAGACCGAUAGCGAACAAGUACAGUAAUGGAAAGAUGAAAAGUAGCCUGCAGAGGCAAUGAAACAAUACGUGAAACCGUUUGUAGGGAAGCGAUGGAACCUUUUCACGCUGCGAGGGUUCAGCUUGGCUUCGGCUUAGUGUAUUCCCUCGUUUUGCGGACCAGCAUCAGUUUGCUUCGCAGUAUAAGGGUGAUUGGAACGUGGCUUCUCCGGAAGUGUUAUAGCCUUUCACUGGAUGCUGUGUCGCAGACUGAGGACUGCAGUGCGCCGUAAGGCAUGGUCUUCGGGCCACGAGCACUUAGGAUGCUGGGCGAAUGGGUUUCAACGACCCGUCUUGACCAACGGACC